GGUACUUUCUUGAUUCAAAUUUUUUUGAGGCUCGGAGAGGUUGUCGCGCCUCUUAGGCCUGGUCAAGUCUUCUUGAGGCUCGAGAUAUAAUUAUUACCAGAGCUCAUUGGAAAAUUAACAAUAAAGCAAGGGUGAGAAUUUGGAUUGAUCGAUGGGUCCCAUCUCUGCCCAACCUACCCCCACACUGUGUUUCAUCAUCAAAUGAGGUUUGGAAUAUGACAGUAGAUGAGGUAAUUGACCAUGAUACUGGGGCUUGGAAUUUUGAGUCCAUCGAGGGUUUGCUUAGUGAUUCGAAGAAGAAAGCCAUCAGGUUAGUUCCUAUUGGGUCAAGAUUUGCAGGGGAUAGACUAAUUUUGCCUUUGGAGAAGUCUGGGAUGUACUCUGUCAAGUCUGGAUAUCACUAGCUCCACCAUUUGGCUGCCCCGAGGACAAUCAACCAGGCUUCUACCUUGUCUCAAGUACCUCUUGAAAUAUGGAGUCUCAUAUGGGGAAUAAAAUGCCCCCCAAAAAUUGAAAUUUUUUUGUGGCGUGCUCUAAGAAGGGGUUCGGCUACAAAUGAGAAUCUUUAUAGGAGAAGGGUGAGAUCUUCGCCCUUAUGUGCUUUACGCCAUCAAUCUGAGGAAUUUGUCAAGCAUAUUCUUCUCCUUUGUCCAUGGGUUAGUCCUGUUUGGUUUGGAGGUGUUUUGAGUAUGAGAAUUUGCAAAAGUGAAAUCACUACGAUGUGCGAAUGGCUUCUUAAUGUGGUGAUCCGGGCAAGCCUUAAUAAAGUUGAUGUGGCCCGUGUGGCUAUGCCUAUUGCUUUUACUUGUUGGAUUAUUUGGAAAUUUCAUUGUAAAGCAAUAAUUGAAGGAAGACCCCAUCACCAGUGGCGGACGCACGUUGGGACAAGAGGGGUCAGACGACCUCUUGAAAGGCUGAAAAGUUGGCAAGGGACUCCAUGAAAGCCCCCUUGGACAGCUGCUGGAAGCCCCCUUGUAUGCACACCAAGUGCUCGACGAAAGUCCCAGGCCAUUGCUACCCGCCUGGACUGUCCCUCCCCCACGCUUGUGGAAACUGCUUCUUCUGCUUGGAUUCCUCUAGUGCUUCCUAGAGUUAAAAUCAACUUGGAUGUGGCAUGGUCUCCCACCUCAAAUCAGGGUGGCAUUGGUCUGGUUGUUCGUGACUAUAUGGGAACCUUUAUUCUGGCAAUGGCUAUUCCCUGUAUGGCAAACUCUGCGUAGGAGGCUGAGGCUGAGGCUUUGGCAGCUGUUGAAGCAUGUUCUUUAGCUAUUGAACACGGUUCAGACAUGUCCAGUUUGAGUCAGACUACCUAGAGGUGGUGCGUGGGAUCAGUGACAACAUUAGUCAUGAUAGGUGGGAGUUGUACCCGCUCUUAUGUAGGAUUCAGGAUCAACUUGGCCAUCCAAACUUUGAGUUUUCUAGCUGGACUUGGUGUCCAAGAUCAGCAAAUGUUGUAGCAUAUCAUAUUGUGAAUUUGGCUCGUGUGAAGAUGAACAAGGAAACUUGGGUCAGGCGACCCCCAUCUUCACUGGUGCACAUUUUGAAUAAGGAUGAUUUACCCAGCCCUCACCCUUAGUUUGCAUGGAGGCAUUUUGUAGAUGGCGACGUUUAGAGCAGCUCUACGACAUCGGUGUUAUGGCCACUUGCAGCUUGCAUUUAGUUUAUUUUUUUGCUCGUCCUGUCUAUCUGGGACAUUUUUCCUUGUUUGGUUUCGUUUUGGUUGUUGCGUUUUGGCCUGUUAAUGAAUUCCUCCCUUUUGACAAAAAAAAAAAUAAUCAUGUUGUUAACGUUGUUAUUUUAUUAAAAUAACUUUCAACGUUGGUUCUUUUA